ensembl:snoRNA
GCAUGGGUUUGGAUUUGUGGCAGAUCCGAUCCCAUGAGCCUCUCACAGUGUCCCAGGCCAAAGCAAACUGUCACCCCGAAUCAUUGCCUAGCUUCACCUGGUGGACUCAAGGCACUGAAGUGGGUUGGACAAUG